AUUGAACGCUGGCGGCAGGCUUAACACAUGCAAGUCGAGCGGAGUGAUGGUGCUUGCACUAUCACUUAGCGGCGGACGGGUGAGUAAUGCUUAGGAAUCUGCCUAUUAGUGGGGGACAACAUCUCGAAAGGGAUGCUAAUACCGCAUACGUCCUACGGGAGAAAGCAGGGGAUCACUUGUGACCUUGCGCUAAUAGAUGAGCCUAAGUCGGAUUAGCUAGUUGGUGGGGUAAAGGCCUACCAAGGCGACGAUCUGUAGCGGGUUUGAGAGGAUGACACUCGACACUGGGACUGAGCAACGGCCCAGACUAACACGGGAGGCAGCAGUGGGGAAUAUUGGACAAUGGGGGGAACCCUGAUCCAGCCAUGCCGCGUGUGUGAAGAAGGCCUUAUGGUUGUAAAGCACUUUAAGCGAGGAGGAGGCUCUUUUGGUUAAUACCCAAGAUGAGUGGACGUUACUCGCAGAAUAAGCACCGGCUAACUCUGUGCCAGCCGCCGCGGUAA
rnacentral:rRNA from 1 species